CUGCGAAUGGCUCAUUAUAUAAGUUAUCGUUUAUUUGAUAGUACCUUACUACUUGGAUAACCGUGGUAAUUCUAGAGCUAAUACAUGCUGAAAAUCCCGACUUCGGAAGGGAGGUAUUUAUUAGAUUAAAAACCAAUGCCCUCUGGGCUCCUUGGUGAUUCAUAAUAACUUUUCGAAUCGCACGGCCUUGCGCCGGCGAUGGUUCAUUCAAAUUUCUUCCCUAUCAACUUUCGAUGUUUGGGUAUUGGCCAAACAUGGUCGCAACGGGUAACGGAGGGUUAGGGCUCGACCCCGGAGAAGGAGCCUGAGAAACGGCUACUACAUCCAAGGAAGGCAGCAGGCGCGCAAAUUACCCAAUCCCGAUUCGGGGAGGUAGUGACAAUAAAUACUGAUACAGGGCUCUUUUGGGUCUUGUAAUUGGAAUGAGUACAAUUUAAAUCUCUUAACGAGGAACAAUUGGAGGGCAAGUCUGGUGCCAGCAGCCGCGGUAAUUCCAGCUCCAAUAGCGUAUAUUAAAGUUGUUGUGGUUAAAAAGCUCGUAGUUGAACCUUGGGCCUGGCUGGCCGGUCCGCCUCACCGCGUGUACUGGUCCGGCCGGGCCUUUCCCUCUGUGGAACCUCAUGCCCUUCACUGGGUGUGGCGGGGAAACAGGACUUUUACUUUGAAAAAAUUAGAGUGCUCCAGGCAGGCCUAUGCUCGAAUACAUUAGCAUGGAAUAAUAAAAUAGGACGCGUGGUUCUAUUUUGUUGGUUUCUAGGACCGCCGUAAUGAUUAAUAGGGACAGUCGGGGGCAUCAGUAUUCAAUUGUCAGAGGUGAAAUUCUUAGAUUUAUUGAAGACUAACUACUGCGAAAGCAUUUGCCAAGGAUGUUUUCAUUAAUCAGGAACGAAAGUUAGGGGAUCGAAGACGAUCAGAUACCGUCGUAGUCUUAACCAUAAACUAUGCCGACUAGGGAUCGGACGAUGUUA
rnacentral:rRNA from 1 species